AUCUUUUAAAAUACAGAGGG
rnacentral:miRNA from 1 species